GACGAACUGUCCUAACGUUGUUCGGAAUCACUGGGUUUAAAGGGUGCGUAGGCGGGCAGGUAAGUCAGUGGUGAAAUCCCCGAGCUCAACUUGGGAACUGCCGUUGAUACUAUCUGUCUUGAAUACCGUGGAGGUGAGCGGAAUAUGUCAUGUAGCGGUGAAAUGCUUAGAUAUGACAUAGAACACCGAUUGCGAAGGCAGCUCACUACGCGGUCACUGACGCUGAGGCACGAAAGCGUGGGGAUCAAACAGG
rnacentral:rRNA from 1 species